rnacentral:ncRNA from 2 species
GAUUAUAAAGGUUACGAUGGUUCCUUUAAGAAUAAUAGGGAAUAUAGUGCAAAUCUAUAGCUGCCCCCGCAACUGUAAAUAGUUGGUUAUUUCUAUAAUCUCACUGGAGUGCUUUUUCUGGGAAGGGUGAAAUAAUGUGUAUACUAUGAAGUCAGGAGACCUGCCAUCAGUAUUCGUCAACG